GGGGGAGGCGGAGGGGCAGGGCCGGGGCUGGGAGGGGCCGGGGGAGCCUUAUGGAAGCCAGACCUGAGGGAAAGAGCCGAGGGAGGAGCCGCUAUUGAAAGAGAAGGCGGGGCUGAGGGCGGGGCUUCAGGAGACGAGGCGGAGCUGGGAGAAAGGUGGGGGAGGAGCUGGGGGAAAGGGAGGGAGGAGGAGGAGGGGCUAGGCGCCUGGUGCGCGGUGACCUCAGAGGCAGCAGUCAAGGUGCAGUCGCAGCGUCCUUGGCGACCUAACUGACCCUCCGAAGGUACCCUGGGGGACGCGGAGGCCGGGAGAGGGCGGCACCUCUAGGCUGAGUCCUGUGCCCGGAGAGUCAGGGUCUCCUUCUUCCAGGCCACCGCGGGCGUGCCUGGGCGUCCUGAGGGGCAGUCGUGAUAUGGGCUUUGUUUGCAGAUUCCUCCUCUGGCCCUCGGGGGCUGCUCUCCUCCUCCCUUUGCAGGCCUGCUCUGCACUCAGCGUUCACCUAGACUCUGGAAGUAAGACCCACUCGGCUAACUCCUGAGUAUGUGCAUGCUCGCUGUGGCGACUUUGGAAAGUACAGAAAGUAUAUGA
rnacentral:lncRNA from 1 species